rnacentral:rRNA from 1 species
CAUGAAGUCGGAAUCGCUAGUAAUCGCGGGUCAGCAUACCGCGGUGAAUACGUUCCCGGGCCUUGUACACACCGCCCGUCACACCACGAAAGUUGGUAACACCCGAAGCCGGUGGCCUAACCCUUAGGGGAGGGAGCUGUCGAAGGUGGGACUGAUGAUUGGGGUGAAGUCGUAACAAGGUAUC